CGGAUCUUUGUUUCGUCAUGUGGGGUCUUUUGUUACGGCACACAGGCUUCUCUCUAGUUGUGGCUCACAGGCUUAAUUGCUUCACAGCGUGUGGGAUCUUAGUUCCCCGACCAGGGAUUGAACCCGCAUUCCCCUGUGCUGCAACAUGGAUUCUAACCCCUGGACCACCAGGGAAGUCCUCCCUUCCAGAAAUGUUUAUUACUCCCAGCUGAGUAUAGUGUCUGCUGGUAUGGUAGCCAUGAGAACCCUCAUCUUGGGUAUCCACCUAGUGGGCUUAGUUUGCGAGUAGCCCUGGUUGCUGCUAUGCCCAGAACCUACCUCUGGGGUUGUGCUAAGACUGCUCCUGGCAGUGACUAAGCCUGGCAGGAGUAAUAGUACCAGCCCAUCCCUGUGGGUCACAGGGCUUUUUCACUGAUGGCCACGGUUCAAGAACCCCCACUGAUCUGGCCCAGACUUGGCUAGACUGUUCCUCUGUCUGGGACUGCCCUGACCCAGCCUUCCUCCACCCUCUCUGUUCUUUCUGACUGGACUUGACAACAGAUAACAGCAUAUCAAUGGGAGUCAUUGAUAAACUUGUCAAAGCUGAUUCUGUGACUUGCUGUUCACAAAAGCCUGACUGAAAUGGGUUCAGAAGAAACUAGGAGAAAAAUUGGAGACAGCAAGGAGAAAGAUUUUUUUAGGUCUAUUUUGUUCAGCAUUAUUAAUAAAGCCAUGCCAGUUUUCUGUCAGGUGGUUCUCCCUCCUUCUCAUUUAAGCCUUCUGUGUACUUUAGAUGCGUCUCUUGUAAAAAGGAUGUCGCUGGAUCCCAACUCCCAUGUCAGUCCACUCUGAAAAUAUCUUUCUAUCUGUAAACCUGUCUAGUUUUUUAUUGUGAUUUCUAAUAGAUUAACUUCUACCACCUCAUAGUUAUGAUUUCUAUCCAGAUUUCUUUUAAAAAAUGGCAAUAGAGAAGAUUUGAUGAAAAUAUAUGCUGCUGCUGCUGCUAAGUCGCUUCAGUCGUGUCCGACUCUUUGCGACCCCAUAGACGGCAGCCCAUCAGUCUCCACUGUCCCUGGGAUUCUCCAGGCAAGAACACUGGAGUGGGUUGUCAUUUCCUUCUCCAAUGCGUGAAAGUGAAAAGUGAAAGUGAAGUCGCUCAGUCACUCAUAGUGACCCCAUGGACUGAAGCCUACCAGGCUCCUCCAUCCCUGGGAGUUUCCAGGCAAGAGUACUGGAGUGGGGUGCCAUCGCCUUCUCCGGAUGAAAAUGUAUAGGUACAGUUAAACAAACAAACAAACAAUAAACUUGUGGUGGUUUAGUCGCUAGGUCGUGUCCGACCCCAUGGACUACAGUCCUCUAGGCUCCUCUGUCCAUAGGACUCUCCAGGCAAGAAUGCUGGAGUGGGUUGCCAUUUCCUUCCCCAGGGUAAUAUUAUGUAUCUCUUGCCAAAAGAAGAAAAAAGAAUGCAAGUAAACAACAGGUGAAAUACAGAUGUAUGUUAAUCAUAUUGUGGCAAUGUCAGUAUUAUCUCGAUAAUGAAUUACAGUUAUGUAAGACAUUGUCAUCAGGAGAUGCUGGACAAAGAGUCCAUGGGACCUCAGUACUAUUUUUGUAACUUCUUGUGAUUCUUAAUUAAAAAUAAAACAUGACUAAAAAUUGAGAAGGGAACAACAGUACCUAAAUGAAUAGCAUGUUAAUACAUUCCUACUUUUGCUCACUCAUUUUUGAGAUUUAUUUAAGUCACAUGAAAGUAUGAUUUAUUUAAUUGCUACAUAGAGAUCUUUUGUAUGAAUGUACACAACUUACUUAUCCAGUCUACAGUGGAUGGGCCUCUCUGGGUAGUUUGUAGCUUUUAUCCGUUAUUAAUAAAGUUGCCAUAAACAUUCUUGUACACCUCCCAUGAACUCACUGGGUGUAGAAUAUUUAUGUUCAGAUUUCUUUGUAUCUCAUUGCUGAUUAGUAAUGAGAAUGGGCAUCUUUUUAUAUUUAUUGGCUCUUGUGAGUUUCCCUUUGGAAAUGACCUUUACAUGUUUUUGCUAAUUUCUGUCUAUCUUUGUCAUGUCUCUAUGAUGUUUAGGAGUGUGAUAUUUCUGAUACCAAUUCUUCUUUCAUUGUAAAUGUCCCUCUUUCUUUAUGGUGUCUUGAACGGUGAUUCUGAACUUUAAUGUGUUAGUUUUUGUGUCUCAUUUGAGAGAUCCUUUCCCAAACUCACUUCUAAAUAUGUUCAGCUUCAUUGUCUUCUUCAGCGUUUCAUGCUUGGUUUCACAUUUAAAUUCUCAGUCAACCUGAAAUUGACUUUUGUUUGUGACAGAGUAUGACAAGUUAUUGAUAAUGGUUUCAGAUUCCACAGUGCAACUAAUCUUUAAUAAAUAAAUGACCACUUGUUAAUUACUGGUACUGUAUCAAAGAAGACUUUUCAAUUAUCUGAAGAGGCUAUAAAAAUACUCCCCCCCUUUCCAUCUGUGUGUCUGUAUGUAGCUGAAUUUCUUCACCUACUUCAACCAAAACAACAUAUCACAGCAGAAUGAGUGUAAAAGCAAGUAUGAGAAUACAACUGUUUCUGUUAAGUGGAUGUUAAAGAGAUAAUGCAAAAAUGUAAAAUAAUGCCACUCUUUUAAUUUUUUGUUUUGGAAAAUAUACUUAAAAAAUAAAGUACUAUUUAUUUAUGUUCACAUGUAAUGACUUAUUUUUAACAGAUGAGUAAUAAUGUUUUUUGAGUAAUUU
ensembl:lncRNA